rnacentral:rRNA from 1 species
CGCGUAGGUGGUUCGAUUAGUCGGAGGUGAAAUCCCUCGGCUCAACCGAGGAUCCGCGUCCGAUACUGUCGAGCUCGAGUGCAGGAGAGGAGAGCGGAAUUCCCAGUGUAGCGGUGAAAUGCGUAGAUAUUGGGAGGAACACCGGUGGCGAAGGCGGCUCUCUGGACUGCCACUGACACUGAGGCGCGAAAGCUAGGGGAGCAAACGGGAUUAGAUACCCCGGUAGUCCUAGCCGUAAACGAUGGGCACUAGGUGUGGGAGGUAUCGACCCCUUCCGUGCCGCAGCUAACGCAUUAAGUGCCCCGCCUGGGGAGUACGGCCGCAAGGUUGAA